AUCCAGCUUACGUGUCUCGAAUAGGACGAAACGCGCGUCCUGGAU
rnacentral:hammerhead_ribozyme from 1 species